GGGUCAGUAGCUCAGAGGCCAGAGCGCUAAAAACCCGUAUGUCACCCCUUGCCUGAUUCACAUCGGGCUGAAGAUAUACGGUUAUCGCCUUCUAAGCGAGAGGUCGGGGGUUCGAAUCCCUCCUGACCCACCA
rnacentral:tRNA from 1 species